UCACGUACCACUAUGUUCAGUAGUUCAGAAGUAAACUCAUUCAGGUCAAGCGCAUUUCAGCUAUCUAUUUUAGUUGUAAAUGCGUUGCAUUCCAGAACAAUCUGACGACGUCUUAUGUCUGUCAUAGCAUCGUUGGUCAUCACAACUCACCUGCUGCAGCUGCAAGUACACCUUCAUCUGAUCAUCACAGCAAGAUGGCAUCAGUUGUCUACUGCAUCGUGCUCCUCUGCUUGACUAUUGGACUGUGGAUGGAGGCAGAUGCAACAUAACAUCACUGGGUGGAAAUGAACAAUAUUUCCCAUUUGCUUUGACGGUUCUCAAAUAAUGAGAAAUCGAUUAAAUGACAGUACCAUCCCCAGUUUACGAAACAUGUAGAAGACGUGGAAUAAAGAAGCACUGUGCUUUUAGUUGUGCUUUAAUUGAUUGGAUUGCUGGUCAGCUUUAGUAUCACAGUACAGAGAGAGAAAUACAUGUUCCGGACAGACUGGUGUUAAACCGAAAUAUUGCUUAGCAGGGUGAAUCAGUUUAUUGAUUAAAUAUUAAAUCGAAUAAAUCUCCAAAACAGUGAUGUCAUCGAUGCCGGACAUCCUGGUAGAAGUGGCAUCCAGACUGAAGAUGUGACAUCAUCAUUCCAUAGAGUAGGAACAGACAUAAGGUUGACUGUCGAGACAACCUACGUCGUUGACCUGUGAACCUUUAAAAAACAUCAAAAUUCAACGUGAUAUAUUUCAAUGAUGAAUAAAAAAAACAACACA